UACGUAGGGGGCGAGCGUUGUCCGGAAUUAUUGGGCGUAAAGGGCAUGCAGGCGGUCUGCUAAGUUCAGAGUGACGGUCAUCGGCUUAACUGGUGAAGGACUUCGAAAACUGGUGGACUUGAGAGCGAGAGAGGGACAUGGAAUUCCGGGUGGAGCGGUGAAAUGCGUAGAGAUCCGGAGGAACACCAAGGCGAAGGCAGUGUCCUGGCUCGUUUCUGACGCUGAGGUGCGAAAGCUAGGGGAGCGAACGGG
rnacentral:rRNA from 1 species